AUGAAAUAGAGCCUUCUGAUUGGCUAAAAAAAUCGAAAUAGUAGUGAUGUUGCUCCUAUGUUAUUAACUUUUUUAUAACUUUUCGUCUUUCUUCUCUCAUUUGAGUGACGCAGUCUCUGCUAAAAAGCCUCAAAUCCCUACUCGAGCUUUGCAACCCAAGCGAUCCUCGAGAAGAUAGGUGAAGCCAGAGCUCUCUUCCUCCUCACAAAGCCUUACGAGCAUCUCAAUUACCAAGUUAUGGCUAAAACCCUACUCGAUGCUAAGCCCUUAUAAGAAGCAAAAGUUAUCAAGCUAGAAUGCUUCGAGGAGAAAGUAUCAAGGAGAACCAGCUGCCUCUGCGCUAUUGCACAAGACAUUUGUGGAAUCUCACUGCAAGGGAUAGCUUGCGAGCAUAGCAAUGCCACAUUUGCCAGUGGUCACGUCACUCAAACCGCGCUCCAUACGUACCUUCUAUGCCUGUGUAUGGGUAGUCUGUCUGGGUGACGAGUCCACCGUUGGUUUUUAUGUAUUCAAAUGCUGUUUCCAUUAGUCCACCGCUACACCCUUUGUUGAGUCACAGCACCUUGUUUCCUCCAGUCCACAGCAGCUGGUACAUCGCCUGCUGGGUCACAAACCGGCCUCUGAUUCUUCUGUAUCCUCAAGGAAGACG